AAUCCAUUCACCAUUAAUUACAAGAUGGCCAAGUCCUUGUGGUUUUCAUGCUUUCUAAUACUUUUGCUUUUGGUAGUACAAAUGCAAACAGUGAGUAGUGAUCAUGAGUCAAACACAACAUCAAUUGGAGUGAUCAAAUUGAGGGUUGGGGUUCCUAAGAAAGAAGGUUUUGCCCAAUUUGUUAAAGUAGUUUGGAAUUCUCGUGAAAACAAGUACAAUAAUGUCUCUGGAUAUUGCAUGGAUAUUUUCAAUGCUGUUGUAAAAAACUUGACUUUCAAGGUUUCUCUACAAAUUGAACCUUAUGUUAAUGAAUCAAAACACAGUGCUGGAACAUACGAUUCACUUGUCCGACAGGUCCCAGUAAAGUAUGAUGUUGUGGUUGGAGACAUAAGUAUCGUGGCGGAUCGGUCACAAUUUGUAGAUUUUACACUACCAUAUACAGAAUCAGGAGUUAGAAUGUUAGUUCCAAUUCAACAUGGAAGACACCAAACCAUGUGGAUUUUUGUGAAACCCUUCAGCUGGCAACUUUGGUUGAGCAUACUCAUAAUCAACAUGCUCAUAGGGUCUGUCAUACUCAUCAUGGAAAGAAAUGUACACACCCUUCCCGAUGAUCGUCAAGAGGAGCGUUCUUCGUUUAAAAAACAGCUCAGCGCAAUGACUAUUUUAUGGUUUCCAAUAUCACAAGCCGUUCUACCCGAAAGACAAGUGGUAGCCAAAAACUGCUCAAGAUUUGUAUUGAUGGUAUGGCUUUUGUUGGCGUUUGUUCUCAUGCAAAGUUACACUGCAAAUUUAACUUCAAUAUUGACCUUAGAUAAGAUGCAACCUAGUUUUUUCAGCGUGAAUGAUCUAAGGAAAGGUGAUCAUUAUGUUGGAUAUCAAGCUGGUUCAUUUGUUUAUGAUUUGUUGGUAAAACAAUUCAAGUUUAGUCCAUUAAAAUUGAAAGCAUAUAGCAACAUUUCUAGCUAUAAUAAUGCUUUAAAGCUUGGAAGCCAACGUGGGGGUGUCACGGCUAUAUUUGAUGAAGUGCCCUACCUUAAUGUUUUCCUUAGAAGGUUCAGAUCCAAUUACAUCAUAGCUGGCCCCACUUAUCGAACCGAUGGAUUUGGUUUUGCAUUCCCUUUGAACUCCAAUCUUGUUUCUCACUUUUCAAGAGCCAUAUUGAACGUGACUCAAAAUCAUGAACUUAUGAAUAAGAUUGAGAAAAAAUAUUUUGGGAAGAGUAUUGAAGAGCUACAACAACAAUCUUCAGAAAUGUCUUCAAUUUCACCAAGUCUUACCUUUCAUAGCUUUGCAGGGCUCUUCUUAAUCACUGGCAUUUCUACCUUAUUGGCCUUAUUUGUCUCAGAAACACUAUUUUUUUGGAAAAAAACAAUUUCUAUGGUUAAAAAAUACUUUCUACACUCCCUAUCUAAGGUUAAAAAAUACUUUCUACACUCCCCAUCUUCCACAAAAACACAUAUUCAUCCAAGUGAUCUUGAAUCAACACAGAAAACUGAUCAAGCCGAUCAACCAAGCUUUAAUUAAUACUAUAGAGUAGAAUAAUAUUAUAACAUUGUUUUCAUCUUAAUUACUACUUUUAAUGGAAUGAUAUUUAGUCUUAUAGAAGUUAGCACUGAAUCUUGUACAAAGAAACUAUUGCGUAGUUGUUUUUUUUUUUUUUGUAAUAUACAUUCUGUUGUUUUAUAUACUAUAAUGUUGUGCAAAGAAAAUUAGUUUAUUGCUUCUAAUAGACAAAGACAAGUAGUGAAGUAGACAAGUAAGAAAACAUAUUUGUAUUUUUAGAGUAUGAAUCAUAAAAGUCGUAUAAUCGUAUUUGUUACGUGAGGAAAAUACUAAGGUGAUAAAAAUUGCAUUUAAGCUUUGUGAGACUAAAAAACCUAUCAGACAAAUUCUCAACAAUACUGAUUAGGGUGUAUUUGGUAACACAAAUAAGCUAGUUUAUAGUUUAUUAUAUGAGCUUAUAAGCUUGUUUUCAAAAAAUUAGAGGUGUUUGGUAACAAGCUUUUUGUACUAGCUUAUAGCUUUUUUCCAGAUGCUAUUUCAAGUAGCGUUUGAGCUUAUAGCUUAUAGCUUUUUACACUUUAUUUCAUUUUUACCCUUUAAUUUAAUAACUACUCACUCUAAAAAAAAACUACCCACUAUCAAUUAUGUAAUUUUAUAUUUAAUAACCACUUUAAAAGCUAAUUUUACCAACAGCGCUGCUAUAUGCAGCGAAGGCUUUCUUCGUGAAAUUCCACGAUCUGACGUGGAGCCAUCAAUUUCAAUAUAUUAAAAAAAAAUUGUCUCGUCAUGGGUGCUGAUUUGCCGCGUUAGAGCGCUAAUUGUUCCUUUUUUUCUUCCGAUCAAAGAGCGUUAAUUGUUCUUCUUUAACCUAAAAUUAUUAUAGGGGUAUGGGGUUCAAGACAAAGAAAGAUCAAGGCAGCAUAUCAGUUUUUCCUUUAUACUUUACUUGGAUCUGUUUUUAUGCUAUUAGCUAUUCUGUUGAUUCUUUUCCAAACAGGGAUCGCCGUUUUACACCCAUUUUCAUCCUUUUUCAUAAUUGUAGAGUUGUGAUAACAGAGCAAAUCACUCCAUCUUGAAGCUGUGACAGUAAUAAAAGGAAAUUACUUGACUCAAAGAGCGGUAACAACAAGUCAACAACAAAAUAUACAAGUAAGUUCACUCUCCUAAAUUGGGUCACUGCUUAGCAAACAACCUUUUAUGCAAUUAGUUAAUGUUAUUUGAAUACCUUGCAUGUUGCAAUUUGAAUGAAAUCAAUGUGAUUUUGAACUUUGAUAUUGAAACAUAUAUUAAUAAUUAGCCCAGUUUUUUUUUAGUGUGUUUUUAAAAAGGAGGUUAGAACUCAAUGAUCGGGCUGGAAUAAGAGUAAGCAUAAAUUAUCGAUCUUUGGUUGUUGAAGCAAAUGGAUAUGAAAAUUUGACAAAAUUAAAGACAUAAUGUUCAAGGUAUCCUUCAAUGAAAAAGACUUUGAGAUACAAUGUAUGUGUUGUUUAUUUCAAUUCAAAGGUAUUUUAUGUAGACACAUCCUUUGUGUGCUUAAGCUAAUAGGAAAAAAAGAGUCAAUACCGUCUAAUUAUAUAUUCUCGCAGUGGAGGAAGGAUAUAAGGCGAAGACAUACCUAUAUUAAAUGUGGUUUUGAUCAUUUUGUUGGAAAUGUUGAAUUGCAAAGAGUUGAUAAAGCUUGUUCUGCCUUUUAUGAAGUGGCUUCUAGGGUGAUAAAUACUGAGCAUGAUUUUUUAAAAAUGAUGAAUUUCAUCAAGGACAUAAAAGAUGAGUUUACCUUUAAAGAAACAUCCUCGAGCAUUGCAGAAGAUGGUUCAGAUCAAAAUCAAGUGACUAAAAUUCUUGACCCUGUAAAGACUCGAUGUAAAGGCCGUCCUCCUUCGAAUAGGAAGUCUUCUAAAGCUGAUCAAAUUGUGAAGAAACUUGCAAAAAAGAGGACAAAAAAAAACAGCCAAAAAAGUGCAAAUAUUCAUGCUCAAAAAGAGAAGGACAUGUGUGCAUCUAGAGUACAAGAGAGUGUUCAAGUAAUUGAUAGAGUUGGCACACAAAAGAGCAUUCAAGGUGAACAAAGUAGUUUUGGGAGGAAUGAACAAGGCGGUGUAAAUAAAUUAGCUCCCUUCAAUCCAAACUCAAUACUUAUAAAGGAAGUAAAUCAGGUUCCAUUUUAUUCUCAAGUCAUGAAUCAUGGUGGUUCUUAUUUUGAAUUGUUGCAGGCUCAACACCAUGUGAAUGAUCCGUCAUUGUCAAAUAAUCAUACACACAUGAAGUGAAUGAUUGGUCAUUUUGAAGAAACUCUGGCAUUCAAGAAUUGGAACCGUUCAGUUGCGGGUUUAAGCUUGACAUGGGGUCUGCAAAUUUUUUCUGCAUAAUUGUAGAACUUCUGGCGUAAUCCUAGGUCCAAUGCAGCUCUAGUCCAAAUCGUGCCUUCUGGCGUGAUCAAUCUGUUGUUUCUGCUUGUUGUCUGCUGUUUGGCGUCAAUUCGGCGUCUCAGUUGGUGUCCUUAUGGCUUCAUAUGCUUUGUUUUAAUCCUAUCUUAGGCGUGAUACUAUUUUUCCCUAUCCUCACUGUUUUAACAUGUUCUGGUGUAUUCUUUGAGUGAUUGAGAGUUUCAAUUCUCUUGUUCUGACAGUGGGGAUAUUCUAUCUAAUCUUGUAUCUUUGUAUUUUGUUGGCAUAUCUUAUACCUAUUUAUUAUACUGUAAUUCUCUUAGCCUUUCAUGCAAGAAAAAGGGUGGAACUUGGCUAUGGUGUUAUUUGGUUAAGUAUGUGAGCUCAAGUGUUGAUAAUACAUACAUGAGUUUGACUUUA